rnacentral:rRNA from 1 species
AUUGAACGCUGGCGGCAUGCCUUACACAUGCAAGUCGAACGGUAACAGGUCUUCGGAUGCUGACGAGUGGCGAACGGGUGAGUAAUACAUCGGAACGUGCCCGAUCGUGGGGGAUAACGAAGCGAAAGCUUUGCUAAUACCGCAUAAGAUCUACGGAUGAAAGCAGGGGACCGCAAGGCCUUGCGCGAACGGAGCGGCCGAUGGCAGAUUAGGGAGUUGGUGGGGUAAAAGCCUACCAAGCCGAUGAUCCGUCGCUGGUCUGGGAGGACGACCAGCCACACCGGGACUGAGCCACGGCCCAGACUCCUACGGGAGGCAGCAGUGGGGAAUUUUGGACAAUGGGCGCAAGCCUGAUCCAGCCAUGCCGCGUGCAGGAUGAAGGCCUUCGGGUUGUAAACUGCUUUUGUACGGAACGAAAAGACUCCUUCUAAUAAAGGGGGUCCAUGACGGUACCGUAAGAAUAAGCACCGGCUAACUACGUGCCAGCCGCCGCGGUAAAAC